GACGAACGCUGGCGGCGUGCUUAACACAUGCAAGUCGAGCGGUAAGGCCCCCUUCGGGGGUACACGAGCGGCGAACGGGUGAGUAACACGUGGGUGACCUGCCCUCAGCUCUGGGAUAAGCCUGGGAAACUGGGUCUAAUACCGGAUAUGACUCCAUGACGCAUGUCGUGGGGUGGAAAGCCUUGUGCGGCUGGGGAUGGGCCCGCGGCCUAUCAGCUUGUUGGUGGGGUGAUGGCCUACCAAGGCGACGACGGGUAGCCGGCCUGAGAGGGCGACCGGCCACACUGGGACUGAGACACGGCCCAGGACUCCUACGGGAGGCAGCAGUGGGGAAUCUUGCGCAAUGGGCGAAAGCCUGACGCAGCGACGCCGCGUGAGGGAUGACGGCCU
rnacentral:rRNA from 1 species